rnacentral:rRNA from 1 species
UACGUAGGGGGCUAGCGUUGUCCGGAAUCAUUGGGCGUAAAGCGCGCGUAGGCGGCCCGGUAAGUCCGCUGUGAAAGUCCAGGGCUCAACCCUGGAAAGCCGGUGGAUACUGCCGGGCUAGAGUCCGGAAGAGGCGAGUGGAAUUCCUGGUGUAGCGGUGAAAUGCGCAGAUAUCAGGAGGAACACCUAUUGCGAAGGCAGCUCGCUGGGACGUAACUGACGCUGAGACGCGAAAGCGUGGGGAGCGAACAGG